AGCCGUUCAAUACUUCCCUCCCCCUUGGCAACCACAAGUCUGUUCUCUGUGUCUGUGAAUAAAAGCUUUGGAUCUGGGGAUGGAGACAGAGACCCGCAUUCCGUAAACACCUGUGGGACAGACUCACACUGUCCUGCUAACCAACUGGCUGCAAGUGAUGAGGAAAAAAGAGGAUCCCAAGUGUCUACUAGCAAUGUUUAUGGGGACCCAACCAUGUCCACGUCUUUACUGGGCUGCUUUCCUGCCACGAAGACAGAGAAGUAGUUGGGACAGACACAGCACGCCCUGACUGCUAAUACUUUGUUUACUGAAACCUCAAACAACCUACUUGCUCCUCAGUCACUGCAAGCAGGAAUGUCUACUGGAGAAGGAGAAAUAAAAGACUCAUCAGGGUCUGCAUCUGAUUCUGUGUAAAUCUGAGAUUCUGCAUGUAAGCAAUAUCGUUAAUCAUUUUAGCCUGGCCUUAGGCUGGUUGCCAUCUGCUGCUGCUGCUGCUGCUAAGUCGCUUCAGUCGUGUCCGACUCUGUGCGACCCCAGAGAUAGCAGCCCACCAAGCUCCCCCGUCCCUGGGAUUCUCCAGGCAAGAACACUGGAGUGGGUUGCCAUUUCCUUCUCCAAUUCAUGAAAGUGAAAAGUGAAAGUGAAGUCGCUCAGUCGUGUCUGACUCCUAGCGACCCCAUGAACUGCAGCCCACCAGGCUCCUCCGUCCAUGGGAUUUUCCAGGCAAGAGUACUGGAGUGGGGUGCCAUUGCCUUCUCCGGUUGCCAUCUAGAGAACCUCAUUCCUUUAUUCAGCAACUAUUUAAUGCAGUAGUCUCUACUGAAAAUACUCUUGAGCCCUUAACUUUUCCUUUUCAAAAAAUCAGAAAAAAAAUCCUAGGGAGACCAUAGAAUUAUCACCUCCCAUGUGUCGCAGAGACAUUACUUUGCCAACAAAGGUCCAUCUAGUCAAGGCUAUGGUUUUUCCAGUAGUCAUGUAUGGAUGUGAGAGUUGGACUGUGAAGAAAGCUGAGCACCGAAGAAUUGAUGCUUUUGAACUGUGGUGUUAGAGAAGACUCUUGAGAGUCCCUUGGACUGCAAGGAGAUCCAACCAGUCCAUCCUAAAUUAGGAGAUCAGUUCUGGGUGUUCCUUGGAAGGAAUGAUGCUAAAG
ensembl:lncRNA